GUUGUAUGGUUAAGUGACUAAGCGUACACGGUGGAUGCCUUGGCAGUCAGAGGCGAUGAAGGACGUAGUAACUUGCGAUAAGCGUAGAUGAGGCAGUAACAGCCACUUGAGUCUACGAUUUCCGAAUGGGGAAACCCACUGGCAUAAGCCAGUAUCAUUGAGUGAAUACAUAGCUCAAUGAAGCGAACCGGGAGAACUGAAACAUCUAAGUACCCCGAGGAAAAGAAAUCAACCGAGAUUCCGAAAGUAGCGGCGAGCGAAAUUGGAUUAGCCCUUAAGCUUUACAUGUGUUAGACGAACGGUCUGGAAAGUCCGACGAUACAGGGUGAUAGUCCCGUAGUUGACGAUGCAUGUUCAGUGAAAUCGAGUAGGGCGGGACACGUGUUAUCCUGUCUGAAUAUGGGGGGACCAUCCUCCAAGGCUAAAUACUCCUGACUGACCGAUAGUGAACCAGUACCGUGAGGGAAAGGCGAAAAGAACCCCUGUGAGGGGAGUGAAAUAGAACCUGAAACCGUGUACGUACAAGCAGUAGGAGCACCUUCGUGGUGUGACUGCGUACCUUUUGUAUAAUGGGUCAGCGACUUAUAUUCAGUGGCAAGGUUAACCAUCUAGGGGAGCCGUAGGGAAACCGAGUCUUAACUGGGCGCCAUAGUCUCUGGAUAUAGACCCGAAACCGAGUGAUCUAGCCAUGGGCAGGUUGAAGGUUGAGUAACAUCAACUGGAGGACCGAACCGACUAAUGUUGAAAAAUUAGCGGAUGACUUGUGGCUAGGGGUGAAAGGCCAAUCAAACUCGGAGAUAGCUGGUUCUCCCCGAAAGCUAUUUAGGUAGCGCCUCGGACGAAUACUACUGGGGGUAGAGCACUGUUAAGGCUAGGGGGUCAUCCCGACUUACCAACCCUUUGCAAACUCCGAAUACCAGUAAGUACUAUCCGGGAGACACACGGCGGGUGCUAACGUCCGUCGUGGAGAGGGAAACAACCCAGACCGCCAGCUAAGGUCCCAAAUUACAGCUAAGUGGGAAACGAUGUGGGAAGGCUUAGACAGCUAGGAUGUUGGCUUAGAAGCAGCCAUCAUUUAAAGAAAGCGUAAUAGCUCACUAGUCGAGUCGGCCUGCGCGGAAGAUGUAACGGGGCUAAGUUGUAAACCGAAGCUGCGGCAAUGUUCUAUGAACAUUGGGUAGGGGAGCGUUCUGUAAGCCGUUGAAGGUGUGUUGUAAAGCAUGCUGGAGGUAUCAGAAGUGCGAAUGCUGACAUGAGUAACGACAAGGGGGGUGAAAAACCUCCCCGCCGGAAGACCAAGGGUUCCUGUCCAACGUUAAUCGGGGCAGGGUAAGUCGACCCCUAAGGCGAGGCUGAAAAGCGUAGUCGAUGGGAAACGGGUUAAUAUUCCCGUACUUCUUACAAUUGCGAUGGGGGGACGGAGAAGGCUAGGUGGGCCUGGCGACGGUUGUCCAGGUUCAAGUGCGUAGGCUGAGUGUUUAGGUAAAUCCGGACACUCUUAAGGCUGAGACACGACGUCGAGCUACUACGGUAGUGAAGUCAUUGAUGCCAUGCUUCCAGGAAAAGCCUCUAAGCUUCAGAUUGUAAGGAAUCGUACCCCAAACCGACACAGGUGGUCGGGUAGAGAAUACCAAGGCGCUUGAGAGAACUCGGGUGAAGGAACUAGGCAAAAUGGUACCGUAACUUCGGGAGAAGGUACGCUCUUGAUGGUGAAGUCCCUUGCGGAUGGAGCUGACGAGAGUCGCAGAUACCAGGUGGCUGCAACUGUUUAUUAAAAACACAGCACUGUGCAAAAUCGUAAGAUGACGUAUACGGUGUGACGCCUGCCCGGUGCCGGAA
rnacentral:rRNA from 1 species